rnacentral:rRNA from 1 species
CCUACGGGUGGCUGCAGUGGGGAAUCUUGCGCAAUGGACGAAAGUCUGACGCAGCGACGCCGCGUGGGUGAUGAAGGCCUUCGGGUUGUAAAGCCCUGUGGGGAGAGAAGAAUAAGUGCGGGCUAAUACCCCGCAUGAUGACGGUAUCUCCUUAGCAAGCACCGGCUAACUCUGUGCCAGCAGCCGCGGUAAGACAGAGGGUGCAAACGUUGUUCGGAAUUACUGGGAGUAAAGCGGAUAAAUCGGAUGUGAAAGCCCCGGGCUCAACCCGGGAAGUGCACUCGAUACUGUUAGGCUAGAGUACUGGAGAGGUUGGUGGAAUUCUCGGUGUAGAGGUGAAAUUCGUAGAUAUCGAGAGGAACACCGGUGGCGAAGGCGGCCAACUGGACAGAUACUGACGCUGAGACACGAAAGCGUGGGGAGCAAACAGGAUUAGAUACCCGAGUAGUC